rnacentral:rRNA from 1 species
CCUACGGGAGGCAGCAGUGGGGAAUAUUGGGCAAUGGACGCAAGUCUGACCCAGCAACGCCGCGUGAAGGAAGAAGGCUUUCGGGUUGUAAACUUCUUUUAAGGGGGAAGAGCAGAAGACGGUACCCCUUGAAUAAGCCAUGGCUAACUACGUGCCAGCAGCCGCGGUAAUACGUAGGUGGCAAGCGUUGUCCGGAUUUACUGGGUGUAACGGGCGUGCAGCCGGAGAGACAAGUCAGAUGUGAAAUCCACGGGCUCAACCCGGGAACUGCAUUUGAAACUGUUUCCCUUGAGUGUCGGAGAGGUAAGCGGAAUUCCUAGUGUAGCGGUGAAAUGCGUAGAUAUUAGGAGGAACACCAGUGGCGAAGGCGGCCUGCUGGACAGAAACUGACGUUGAGGCUCGAAAGCGUGGGGAGCAAACAGGAUUAGAUACCCGGGUAGUC